GAUGAACGCUGGCGGCGUGCCUAAUACAUGCAAGUCGAGCGAACAGACGAGGAGCUUGCUCCUCUGACGUUAGCGGCGGACGGGUGAGUAACACGUGGAUAACCUACCUAUAAGACUGGGAUAACUUCGGGAAACCGGAGCUAAUACCGGAUAAUAUAUUGAACCGCAUGGUUCAAUAGUGAAAGACGGUUUUGCUGUCACUUAUAGAUGGAUCCGCGCCGCAUUAGCUAGUUGGUAAGGUAACGGCUUACCAAGGCGACGAUGCGUAGCCGACCUGAGAGGGGGAUCGGCCACACGGGAACUGAGGCACGGUCCAGACUCCUACGGGAGGCAGCAGUAGGGAAUCUUCCGCAAAGGGCGAAAGCCUGACGGAGCAACGCCGCGUGAGUGAUGAAGGUCUUCGGAUCGUAAAACUCUGUUAUUAGGGAAGAACAAAUGUGUAAGUAACUAUGCACGUCUUGACGGUACCUAAUCAGAAAGCCACGGCUAACUACGUG
rnacentral:rRNA from 1 species